CGGCUGUCUCCAUCUCACGGUCCAAGUUACACUCGAAACAGCGCCCAACUACAAAGUUUGUUCCCUCAAAAAAAAAAACUCCAGUACAAAGUUUGUUUGUUUUACUACGAGAAAUACUGCACGACCUUUUGCAUGAAAAAAAAGGAUGGUUUUGCAGUUUUGCUCCUUCUUCUUUUUUGCAUGGUUUUUGCGGUUUUGCUGGAUCCGCGUCGAACAGUUUUUUUUUUUGGAGAAUCCGCGUCGAACAGCUGUGCGUGGGUUGGGUGGACACUGGGCGUUCAUCAAUUCGAGGCCCAUGCCGCUUGAUUAUGCAGGCCCAUUAACGAGCGAUGCAUGCAUCUGCUUUUAGAUUGUCUCUAUCUGACCACCGCAGGUUCCACUAAAAGGCAAGCCUGGUGAUCGCAGUUGUCUUGAUCAUCGACUUAUCGUACACCUUGCAUUGACCCUCAUUUACAUUUUCCAUGCUA
rnacentral:lncRNA from 1 species